CGACGAGUAUAGGCACGAAAGAGAAAGCGCAUUUCCGCUUGGAUAAAAGCCGCAUCACAAGUCAUUAAAAGAAACUUGUUCGACGUCAUUUUGAGGGACAGCUUCAGUCCGUGCGGAGGUUUGCCCGGAAUCCUCUUCGAUAUAAUUCACGAGCGGCAAGUUUAAAGACCCGUAGAACGAAGUGACGCGUACGUGACAGGAGUGCCGGACACGGAAUUCACGCCGACGAAAAUCAAUUCGAACGAUAUAGAUUUUCCCGGUCGGUCAGCAGACAUUUCGGAAGGAUUCCGCGGUACGGGGGCCACGAGGCCGUUGCAAACUAAUCGAACAGAAGGGGAACCUAACCUCACCACGGAACACGUGCCGGGCGGACAGGAGAAGGUUGAAAAAGGACCUGAAAGAAGAUUUGAAACCCGUACAUACUGCAAGAGCCAUACAUCGAACAAAGCGCCCCGAAGACAAGGGGCGUUUUUUCUUUAUUCGCUUCUUUCAUCUGUCAUGAACUGAUCGACGCGGAUUGAUCGUCACGUUAUUAAAGUUUUCCACUUCCGAAGGACGAGUUGACCAAUCGCACGAACAGCGCUGGUCCCUUGAGAACGAGUUAAUUGGCCGUGAGGAUAAAGCCUGCGCGGAGCGGUUGCAAAUCAAGCACCCGGACGAUGGUGGCCCUAAGGAUCGAGUAGCUAUUCGAGAGACACAAUCGAAAGCGUCAUCAUGCACACGUCGUCAUCAUCGUCGUACGGUUGCGUCUUGGCAUCUCGCGCCUGGAAGGUUUAGACCGUGAGUGCGUUCCAUCAUCGAAAUUGUUAGGAGGAAGGUUAGAGGAAACUAAUAGCAGCGAGGGAAGAGGAAGUAAAGAGCAAGAAAUGAAGAAGAAGCGGAUAGGGAAGAAUGAAAACAGUGAUAAGUAAGACGGUCUGGAGAAAUAAGGAUUAGAGGAAAUGUGGGUAUGGGUGUGUGAACGAUGCCGCCAAUAAAUUUAUGUGCACAUGAAUUUUGUGUUUUU